rnacentral:rRNA from 1 species
AUUGAACGCUGGCGGCAGGCUUAACACAUGCAAGUCGAGCGCGCGGCGGACGGGUGAGUAAUGGCUGGGAAACUGACUGAUGGAGGGGGAUAACUACUGGAAACGGUAGCUAAAACCGCAUACCAGCAGAUGUGCCCAGAUGGGAUUAGCUAGUAGGGGGGGUAUUGGCUCACCAGGGCGACGAGGUCUAGCGGGUCUGAGAGGAUGAAAAGCCACACUGGAACUGAGACACGGUCCAGACUCCUACGGGAGGUACCAGUGGGGAAUAUUGCACAAUGGGCGCAAGUCUGAUGCAGCCAUGCCGCGUGUGUGAAGAAGGCCUUCGGGUUGUAAAGCACUUUCAGCGAGGAGGCGUUACUCGCAGAGGAAGCACCGGCUAACUCCGUGCCAGCAGCCGCGGUAAUUC